AAAAACAUCCUGUUUGAUCUAAUUGUGCCAUUUGUGCCAGACACGUGAACAAUAGAACACAGCAGAGAUUCUUCCAACCCACCAAUGGAAGGAUAUGUGCACCAACAGGCGCAAACAUAACACUUGCAGCUGAAGGAAAACUAACAGUCAACCUUGAGUGGAUGAAAAACUUCAGAAGUAAUCCAAGACUUGCAGCAAAACCCAGAGAAAUGGAUGACUUCUCAUGUCCACACCCUGAGACCAGCACAUCAGACCAAGAUGCAUUUAGACAUCUAGACUCCCUGGAAGGGUGGACUGAGUGAAAACCACAGCAAUGGCACAAAAAUGAUGGAAGAAUCUGUGGUGUUUUUGUUUGCACAAGAUGGAAGCAAAAGGGCUCAGCAUGUCUUCUGAGUUGCUCCACACAGAAUAGUUGCUCUACCUUCGGAUGUACCAUGCCUCCUGUUUGGUUAAAAAUAUACAAACUAAGGUAAAGCAGUGUCAAGCUCUAAAUUAAAUAAUGGUGGUGUUUUCUCUAAUCUGGAUGUAUAUAUGA